rnacentral:lncRNA from 1 species
CAUUAUUAGAGAUUUUAUUAAUAAUCUUGUGAUUGGAAACGUUUUGUUAACUUCGAUGGUUAGGAUGCAGAGUAAUCACAGGAAAGGUAGAAGAGUGAAAGUAGACAAGGGAUGAGAAAAAUUCAGAAAUGGGUCUUGUCCAUUCUUUGCUGUUGAUUUGUAAAGGGAAGAGAGGCCCCACUGUCACCUAUACAGUCCACUAAUAAUCAUGAAGGAUAUAAUAUCAAAAAUAUAAUAAGAAGAACAGUAUGAGUGAUUUAUAUACAACUAUACAGAAUUCUAUACUAAACAAAGGAGUUUCAGUUUAUAAAUAUAUAAACAUAAUAUAAAAAUAUAUAAAUAUAGUCAUGAUGAAUACCUCAAUUCAUCUGAUCUCAGUAGAAUGGGCAGAUUAUUCUCUCAUUUGGUAGGAAGACACACCUGUAGGCCUUGCUCAGUAUGUGCAUAUACCAGAGGUAGCAUUACAAUGACAUGCAUGAAUGCGGCAAAUUUCAAGUGGGCUUCAGUCAGCAACAGAUGAGGCUGAUAUCUGCUACUCCUGCAUAUGUACACUGCUGGACUCACAGACAUCUUGUAGAUCUAGACAGUGACACUGAGGUUCAAAUGAUAACAUAAGAGGCAAAGGGUGAUAGCAGAACGAGCUGACACCUUAUAACCUUUAGCAAGGAAAAAGGUCGACCAAAAGAAAAAACUGGGGUAUGAACUAUUUUAUUUAUAAUUUAUUUAUUUUUGAGCUCUUCUUUCUACUCUUUCUCCUUCUCUGUUCUUUUUUGUGGGUUUUAAAAAGAAUCCUUUGAAGACAUAUUUUGAGUGUGAUUCGUUCCUGGUAAACACACAGGCACACAGAGAUAAGGGAGGUAGGUUGACAGCAGAGGGAUUGAUGGAAGGCCAACUGUGGGCUGGCAAAUACAAUUUUUAUUGGCCAAAAUAGUCUACGGGCUAAAUUACUUCUGAAGACUAUUUUUUUUUAAUUUUUAUUUAUUUAUGAUAGUCACACAGAGAGAGAGAGAGAGAGGCAGAGACACAGGCAGAGGGAGAAGCAGGCUCCAUGCACCAGGAGCCCGACGUGGGAUUCGAUCCUGGGUCUCCAGGAUCACGCCCUGGGCCAAAGGCAGGCGCUAAACCGCUGUGCCACCCAGGGAUCCCUGAAGACUAUUUAUAAAACUAUUUCCUCUUUCGUACCUUUAUUUUCUUUGUGAAGAUUUUACAAAUUUGUUACCUAAAUAAACAUCUGUCAGUAACCAAGACAAGACCAUCAAUCUCAUCUGCCAACAAUGAAGUUAAGAAAGGAACUGAAAUUUUUUUCCUUGAGGCAACAGUCAGGUGAAUACCCAGUCUGCAACACUAGCUCACGCAUUCUCAACAGCAUGACUAAAGGUAGGGGCUCAAUAUUUUGGCCUCAAGUUCCUGAUCUGCCAGACUUUAUUCAGAGCAUCACAUUUUGCUCAAAAUGUGAACUGAACUCAAGUAAUACAGAACCAGUUUUGCUUGACAAUUGACGAUUCUUUCAAGAAAACAGAUGGAAAUGUUAGCAACCAAAUGUUGACUUUUCAGAUUAUAGAAAGAAGUCCUAGCAAUGGGACUAGGUCUUUAAUGCUUUAAUCCUGUUCAGUUUAUUCACGGAGAAGAGAAUUUGCCGAAGAAGAGCUUAAAAUACCACAAACCUACCAGUCACAGACUUUCUCAGUAUUGGGUGGGCAUUCACUAAAAUUUACAAUAAUGUCAAAGCAAGAUUUUGCAGUAAUAUUUCUUUUUCGCUAGCCAAGUUUUAAUAUAAAAUAUUGAGGAAAACUCAGCAUUCAUCCAAUGUAUCUGCAGGCUUUCUGCUAGUUAACAUGUUAAUCAAGAAAAGGAUUGUGCUGUCCAACUCUGAGAUAGGUUAUUUGGAAAAGAAAAAAUAUUUGUCUAUGGAUUUGUGGAGAAAUGUUUCCAAGAAGAAAUUAUAAAUGGACCUUAUUUUAGUUCUGUCCUGUUAUGAAUGACAGGUUUAACAUUCUUAGAAACCUUAAAAAUAUAAUGACUACAUCUUUAAAAGCCUCUAGGGAUCCUUGUACAUUAACGUAUCAGUCAGUAAAUUAUUUAUCUAUAAAUUAAUCUUUCUAAACAGAUUUCUACCCCCCCUUUAAUUUGAAAGCUAAACUUCUGAGUCUCCACUUCAGCAACUUUAUAUCUGAAGAGCCUACAUCUGUAAAAACAUUUCUAAUGAAAACAUGAAGACAACCCCCCAGAGAAGCAAAUAAAAUGAGAUUUAAGUAUAUAGCAGCCUUUCUACAGUUACAUUCCUAACAAGAGUGGAUUCGAACUUGAUGCCAAAUUGAGGUUAUGUAAUACAAUCAGUGAAUACUCUGGUUCUUUGAGUUUUAGUGAAAAAUUUAGGUGCUUACAUGAUUCUGUCUGAAUUUCCCAUUUAUACCAAGUUAGAGGCAUUACAUCUUGGUUUCCUGAGUCACAGAAGCUGGGGGAAGAGGAGAGGAAGGAAGAAGGAAGGGUGAGAAAUGCUCUAGAGCAGGCAGCAGAAAAGGGAAUGUCGCAAAGUCUGGGUUCUUAAGCCCCAGGUGCCAUCCAGGUGUUACAGGUGCCAAAAAAACAAGUGUCAAAGAUGGGUUUAGAUUUUCACAUACCAUAUGGAAAAUUGUCCAACCAGACUUUACUCAGUUCUCCCGCACAAAUCACUUCAUCACUUGGUAA